GCUGCCACGACGUUACAGCAUGCUGAAAAUAUUUCCGAGGCGCGAUUUUGGCGAGUUCUAGCCAAUUUCGGGAAAGGUUUUGAGGACAAUGAUGUGGACGUGAUUAAGAGAAGUCCAUACAAGGUACAGAUGUUUAUUCUGGAGAUCCAUCAGCAUAGGAGUUCCUCUCAGCUGUGUCGGAAGUGCUUCACUGUUCUGGAGCCUAAAUUUUGAUGCUGGUC